AUGUCUGAAAGUUGGGAAGAUGCUUUCCCAAUGGUUUCUGUGAGGAAAUUAGUUCGAGAAAUCUCUGACCAUAACCCCUUGUUGCUCUCCUCUGGGGAAGAAGGGCGCGAAGCGCCAAAACCUCGAGAAUUUCGUUUUGAUCUUUCUUGGCUCAAAGAUGACAGCUUCAUACCUACUGUUGGGAGAAUCCGGGCUAGGAAAGUUGCAUCGACCAACCCAAUAGACGUCUUAAAUAUCAAGUUGAAAAGAUUUAAAACUUACUUCAAAGGGUGGGGCUCAGACAAAUAUGGGCACGAUAAGAGAAGAAAAGAGGAGUUCCACAUAGAACUGUCUAUGCUGGAGGAACUAGAAGAGGAGGAUAUUUUGCCCCCUGACCUUUACGGUAGGAAAGUUGAUAUUAGUGCUGAGCUCUACGAGAUUUUGGUGAACGAGGAAUUUUUUUGGCUUCAGCAAUCCCACGAGCGAUGGCUCCUCAAAGGGGAUUUAAACACUGACUACUAUCAUAAAAUUGCCAAUGGGCGAAAACGCAAUCACUUAGAGUGGGUGAGACAGUGA
rnacentral:rRNA from 1 species